UACGGGGGGAGCAAGCGUUGUUCGGAUUUACUGGGCGUAAAGGGCGCGUAGGCGGCGCAACAAGUCACUUGUGAAAUCUCCGGGCUUAACCCGGAGCGGUCAAGUGAUACUGUCGUGCUAGAGUGCGGAAGGGGCUACUGGAAUUCUCGGUGUAGCGGUGAAAUGCGUAGAUAUCGAGAGGAACACCUGCGGCGAAGGCGGGUUGCUGGGCUGACACUGACGCUG
rnacentral:rRNA from 1 species